GCCAUGGUAGAAGAUCACAUUGCUUGCCUGCAAAUAAAGUGGAAUCCAAAUAUUCAGCGAUGGGGGUCUUUGUGAAGACAUGAUAAUGAUCAUACAACCACCUUCUGAAUCUAUUUAUGUAUGGCUUCCAGAAGAUGCUCACUUAAUGUUUAUGAGAAUGCUUUUUUCUCCCAAAAUGCAGUUCUCCCUUCUCCCUCCUGCUUUGUAACGUCCUCAAAGCAAAGGAUAGAAACCCUACUGCAGCCAUCGCAUAAAAUACUUUGUAUGGCGCCAAGCCCAAACCACAGAGAUAGGAAAAAUAGCCAGCAAGCAGGUAGACAAAAUCCAAUUUCACUUUCUUCCCCAGUAUGGCUGGGGAGGAAAAUAGAGAAUUGCUCUCNNNUUUGAAUUGAAGAUACCAUGAAGUAUUACACCAAUGCAAAGAGCUGAAUCCAGGAACCACGGAAAGCUAUGACCCAAUCCUAUUCUCUGCAACCAAGCCGCAAGAGAGGGGACAAACAUCAUUGCUGCAAGAAGAUGCAAGACCAACAAGCCAUGUCGGUGAUGGAAGAUCUCCAAUUGUGUUUCACCAAAACUUUUUGAAGGGUUAGGACUACUAGAACUGUUCUCUUCCACUUUGAAUUCAAAUUCCUGAGACCCUUCAUUUCCUCUGUCUUUACAAUCAUACAGUUCCUUUCUCUGUGCAUGGCUGCGAAAGGAAGCCGUCAAAAAACUGCACAAUGCAUUAUGACAGCACCAAGCAUGAGACAAGAGAAGUAUGAAUAAACCCAAAGCUGGAUGAACAAAGCAUCCCAACGUAAUUGCAGUCAGCGCAGUUACAAGCAAUGGAUUGAAUCUUAGAACCCUUACAACCUUUAAUGAAAAGAAACUGGAGGAAAGAUUAAUAAACCAAUGAAGAAAUCCUAAGCAAAAAUUUCCUUCCCAUCCUUGCCACCUUGUCUUGAUGAAAACAUGUAUGAUGGCAGCCGCAUAGAAGAUCAGUUGGGAAACAAUGAUCAGUAUAAUUAUGGACCCAUUUGCAAAAAAAAUAGCAAAUAAUUGAAACAGUGAUGAAGCUUGCAAAAGGAGGAAGGGGUUGAGACAUUAGCAAGGAAACGAACAAGGAAAACAAAAUGGGUAUGAUUCCUAGAAGCAAGAAAGAUAAUGGCAUUCUCAAAUUUGAUUCCACAGCUGUCAGCAUUGAAGGCAUAGGCAGAUCAAGAUCCCACGCAUGUGCCUGUCGCAUUAGAGCAAAAAAGAUAACCGCAACGGAGAAACCAACUAUCUGUGAACUAUACAAAAGCAAAACCCGGCUGGCAGCUGCCGUUUCAGAAACAGCAAUGCUCAUUUUAUACGAACAAUGAGGAUCAACCAGUAACAGAACAGUGGUUCUUUCAGAUCCCUGGGUAGAACUCCACAGAGCUGGUGAGGAAUCAACAAUAAUGGUUUCACCAUGCAAAUUAGGAAACAUGUGAAUACCUGAUGUAGGAUCCCAUGCAAGUGCUACAGGUGGGAAACACCGCAAUUUGCAAAGCCUACUGUUUUCCAUGUAUCCAGCCUCUUCAGCAAGAAGUCCAGACCUUUUUAUUCCACAGCCCAUAGUCUUCAGAGAUAAAGUAACAGGCAAAAGGCCUAAGCUAACAG
rnacentral:misc_RNA from 1 species